rnacentral:misc_RNA from 1 species
UACGGUUUGUCACCGUCAGUCUCCUUAGAGUUCUCAGCAUAACCUGUUAGCAACUAAGGACAGGGGUUGCGCUCGUUACGGGACUUAACCCAACAUCUCACGACACGAGCUGACGACAGCCAUGCAGCACCUGUAUCAGAGUUCCCGAAGGCACCAAUCCAUCUCUGGAAAGUUCUCUGUAUGUCAAGGCCUGGUAAGGUUCUUCGCGUUGCAUCGAAUUAAACCACAUGCUCCACCGCUUGUGCGGGCCCCCGUCAAUUCAUUUGAGUUUUAACCUUGCGGCCGUACUCCCCAGGCGGUCUACUUAUCGCGUUAGCUGCGCCACUAAGAAUACAAGACUCCCAACGGCUAGUAGACAUCGUUUACGGCGUGGACUAC